rfam:Schistosoma mansoni, Puerto Rico, WGS project CABG01000000 data, contig: 0147
AUCCAUCUGACGAGUCUCAAAUAGGACGAAACGAGAGUUGAACUGGAU